rnacentral:rRNA from 1 species
UACGUAGGGUGCAAGCGUUAAUCGGAAUUACUGGGCGUAAAGCGUGCGCAGGCGGUUGUGCAAGACCGAUGUGAAAUCCCCCGGCUUAACCUGGGAAUGGCAUUGGUGACUGCACGGCUAGAGUGUGUCAGAGGGGGGUAGAAUUCCACGUGUAGCAGUGAAAUGCGUAGAGAUGUGGAGGAAUACCGAUGACGAAGGCAGCCCCCUGGGAUAACACUGACGCUCAUGCACGAAAGCGUGGGGAGCAAACAGG